UACGGGGGGGAGCAAGCGUUGUUCGGAUUUACUGGGCGUAAAGGGCGCGUAGGCGGUCAGCACAAGUCAAUUGUGAAAUCUCCGAGCUUAACUCGGAAAGGUCAACUGAAACUGUGCGACUAGAGUGCGGAAGGGGCAACUGGAAUUCUUGGUGUAGCGGUGAAAUGCGUAGAUAUCAAGAGGAACACCUGCGGCGAAGGCGGGUUGCUGGGCCGACACUGACGCUGAAGCGCGAAAGCCAGGGGAGCGAACGGG
rnacentral:rRNA from 1 species